GGAAGAAGGACAGAGUCAUGAGCUAUCUCUGAGGCACCACAAUGCUGAGAGAGUGCCGCUGGAACCAAGAUGCAGAACAGAAAGAGAAGCAAGAAAAUUGACACUUGGCACUAUUGGAAAAAAACACUUCAUUAUACUAGAAUCACUGAGUUCAUGCAGUCUAAGUGGAAAGAUUUGAAAAGUGAAUCUUAGUCUGAAGAUAUAGGAAAAAAUUAGAAUCCUGUUCUCCACUGAAGCAAUGAAUGACCAUAUAUCCCAGUUUUGGUCAAUGAGAUAGAAGAGAAAACUCCUUUGGAGAGCUUUCCUGAGAGAGGUUUUGCACACUGGAAUCAAGGGGUAACAGACAAACUUCAUGUGAUCCUUUCUGGAGUUGAAUAUUGAUAUACUAUCUGAAACUGUUGCAGCCAGCAUUUGAUGUGGAAGAACAAGCCAAGAUAUUGACAAGGUCCAGCUCUGAUAUCAUUGUGCUAUUUUACUUAUAAUAGCAGCUACCUGCCUCCAGAUUCCUUGUUAAGUAGGGGUGGGGAGUGUGGAGAGGGAAUAGAAAAUAAAAAUUUAAAAA